rnacentral:rRNA from 1 species
GUGGGGAAUAUUGCACAAUGGGUGAAAGCCUGAUGCAGCAACGCCACGUGAGGGACGACGGCCUUCGGGUUGUAAACCUCUUUUAGUAGGGAAGAAGCGAAAGUGACGGUACCUGCAGAAAAAGCACCGGCUAACUACGUGCCAGCAGCCGCGGUAAUACGUAGGGUGCAAGUGUUAUCCGGAAUUAUUGGGCGUAAAGAGCUCGUAGGCGGUCUGUCGCGUCUGCAGUGAAAACUGGAGGCUCAACCUCCAGCCUGCAGUGGGUACGGGCAGACUAGAGUGCGGUAGGGGAGGUUGGAAUUCCUGGUGUAGCGGUGGAAUGCGCAGAUAUCAGGAGGAACACCGAUGGCGAAGGCAGAUCUCUGGGCCGUAACUGACGCUGAGGAGCGAAAGCGUGGGGAGCGAACAGGAUUAGAAACCCUUGUAGUCC